GCCAUUAUACUUCCAACUUUCCAGAGAAACAAAGAAUUCAAAAGAAAUAUUCAAAAAGGAAAUUUAGUACACAAGGUGGCACUGCUUGGAUGGUAAUGUUCCUUCUGAAAAGUUUCCAUAAGAAGGCAGUUUGAAAAUCUCUCCAGAAUUGCCCACCGUAGAUCGCAUGGAGAUAGAAUGGAGAUCUUUUCAGCUUAACAUUCUUAUCAUAAAUAUCAAGGCGCAAAGCUUUUUUCUUCUUCUUGUAAACAUUUUAAGAAAACUAUUCGAAAUAAAAAAGGAUAUUUACACUAGCACUCUGCUGAAAAUGGAGAAUGCAGACUUCAGGUUUGUAAAUGACUAGCCACUCAAGAAGGAAAAACUAUAUUAGGUAUUGAUUGCACAAUGUGAGGUGCUGACAUUAUAUUCACAAUUUAUUAAGUGCCAUUGUUCAUUACACAUUGAUCAAAUGCAUACGCCAUAUCACCCAUAUACAUUUUCUUCAAAACGACAUAGUUUUCCUCCAACAAAAAUUCAUUGCAGCCAUUGCAAGGACGGCUACGGUCCAUUGGCCUCACUUUUGGAAGAUAUGAAAAUGCCAUAUGACCUCAUUCUAUGAUAGCGGCCGGAAUAGAAUUAAUACCACCGACAUUUUUUGGAACCAAUAACAAGGACCACCAAGCACAUUGUGGCUACCCUCAGCACCCAGCACCGCCAAAGUGGCCAUCCAGGGCCAUUGAUUUUAUCCAUUGGUUCGACUGGCGGACCCAGCCCAGCCGAAGCCUAUUAAAUCAAAAGAGAAAAAAAAAAAUGUAUGUUUCUCUGACUGUUGGCCUCAUUUUACCAAGUCUUAUCGCCAAAUCAGUACCAAAAGCUAAAGUGUCACUUAGCAAAACACAGGAAAGUAAUUCUAAACUUUGAAGCCGUUUCACCAAACUUUCACUAGUUUUUGCUGAACCCAGCGAUAUAAACAUAAAACUCGAAGUAUUUUGAGUGACCUUAGCUAUAUAUACCGACGAUAGUCGCUAAUCUAGAACGAAUCUGUUAUCUGCAAAUCACGUCGGUCACUAGGAUCUAAUCCACCAAAAUUGAUAGGAUGCUGAAUAGAACAUUUUUUCAUGAGUUGUGCUCGAUGCAAUGAGCCUCCCAUUUUCCAGCCACCCAUCGGCCAACCUUGUGGUCAGAUUGCGUGAUGCCCAAGACACAUGCGUGUUGUUACCACUGCACCAAGGCCAUGUUGGUUGAACUCUAAAAGAAAUUAAGGAUUUUAUUUCGGGACGAGUAACUGAUAACAAAAAAUAAUUGUCUGACAAACUACACUGAUGACUGAUGUUCUGUGGCUUGCCCCUCGAACUUUACUCACCAACAGUCCACUUAACGAACAAUUAAUACUUAGGAACUAAAUAGUGCCGAUACCAAUACGCGACAUGUAAUACAUCAUGAACACGCAAUACGUCAUUUUUCAAAAAUUAGAGAAUUCCGACACGUUGAAACACAUUAUAUAUUAAAUGUAUAUUUUUCUAUAUACAUUAUAAAUUAUUAUUUUUAUGAUUAUUUUAAUCAAACUAAUUUGAUUCAAAUUUACAAAAAAAUUAAUAAUAAUAAAAGACCCUAAAAUAAAUUUACACUAAAAACAUUAAUUCAUAACUUGUUAAUAUCAUUCACCGUAUCAAUUUGAUAAAUUCAAUUCCAUUUCAAUAAUCCAUAAAAUUUAGAAGAAAAAAACAGUCAAUUCACAUUUUGGACUCGUCUGUUAGAACAUGUCAAAAGAAUAGAGAAAAAAAACUUGAGAAUGAACUAUGUGUCGCUGGAAGUAAGAAUCAGAAAAGAAGAUAAGAUUAGAAUGAACUAUGUGUCGCUGGAAGUAAGAAUCAGAAAAGAAGAUAAGAUUAGAUUUUUCUUCCCAUUUUAUUAUUUAUUUAUUUUUUUUUACAUAUUUAUGUUGUGACUCCUUAUUUAUUGAAAUUUUUUAAAAUUAACCAUAUGCAUCGCGUGUUGGAGAGUGCUGGGAGAGUUGACUAGGUAUUGAAUUUUUCGAUAUGAAUUGUUGGAGUGUUUGAUAAAUCAUAAAGGAUCCGGAGAGUGUCACUUCCUAAAUUAGGAAGCAACGACACAUCUCAUACCAAACACUCUGUAAUUCACCAAACAGGGCCCAAUUAUUGAAAAAAGAAUAUCGUAACGCCAAAAGAAUCAAAAUUCUCAGUAGCACUUGCCUGGCCAUUCGAGUACUGCAUUUUGUGACUGAGGAACUUAUACAGCUUGCAACGCAAGGCCACCUGCGCGAGCUUCUCUUUGCAGACGUUUGCCGACAGCAGCGUCGAGAGCUGUCCCUGAUCGAGCUCAGGGUAAGCCUGGACUAGGUGGUCACUGACCGCAAGGUUUAGGACGCGGUCGCCGACGAACUCUAGCCGCUCGUAGGACGGAGCAUCCAGUAUGGAGGAGUGCGUCAGGGCCUCCUCAAGCAGCUUCGGGUCCUCGAACUUGUAGCGCAGGAUGGCCUCAACUUGGGAGACGGAGGGGCCCCUCUCCGGCGACAGUGAAGGGAGGGAAGUGGGAGAAAACAUCUCUUCGUCUGGAAUGUAGACAAGUUUCUUGAUCAAGUUUGGAUUUUGAUGAGAGAGAGAAUUUGGUGAUUACAGCUUAAACAUUGGCACAUGAUAUCGACACAUCAUUUUUUGAAAAAAUUGAGAAUUCCGACACGCUGGAACAUUUAUAUUAAAUGUAUAUUUCUUUAUAUGUACAUGACAAAUUAUUAUUUUUAUGAUUGCUUUUAAUUAAUUAAUUUGAUUCAAAUUCACAAAUAAAUAAAUAAAUAAUAAAAGAGCUUAUAAUGAAUUUACACUAAAAAUAUUAAUACACCAUUUUUUUAAUAUCAUUCAUUAUUUUAAUUUGACAAAUUCAUAUAUUCUAAUAAUUCAUAAAAAUUAGAGGAAAAAAAAGCAGUUUAUAUUUUGGACUUGCAUAACAAAGCAUGUUGGAAGAGAAACGAAAAAAUGGACUUCGGAGGUGAAUUGUGCGUCACAGGAAAUGAGUCAAAAGAGAAUAAAAAAAUUAGAUUUUUCUUUCUUUCCCAUUUAUUAUUUUUAUUAUUUUUACAUAUUUAUAUUUUAACCCUUUAUUUAUUGAACUCUUUUAAAAGACUUGUGUAUGAUGAAAACACAUGUCGGAAUUCUGAAUUUGCAUGUUGGAACUCCAAACUUGCGUAUCGAAAAGCGUUAAGAGAGUUGAUUAGGCAUCAGAUUUUCCGACACCUGUUGACCAAGUGUCAAAGAGCAUUGGACAUGUGUCGAAGAGUGUUAAACACGUGUCGAAUACGAUACAAAAGCUCUAAGAGAAUAUCAAUACUCUCUAAAUUACCACUAAUCACGUGCAAUUACGUGAUAAAAUUGAAAAAUAGAUCCUAAAAAUGUAAGAAUCGAGAUAUCAUGUAACGAAGUCUUUAAGUUGUUUGAUAAUAGAUGAAAAUUUCUUAGUUUCUCUCCAAUAUAGAAAAUAUUACUGGAAGGUUGUAACAGCUAUCGUCAGUAACAUUUUACUUUUCAAUUGAAUAGUUUAUGACUUAACCAAUUAAGUAAGCUUGCCUUUAUUUAUUGCGUUUGAUUUCUCUAUUGAAAUAACCAAUUAAGUUAUGUAUAAUUAGAAGUUAGGAAAUGAGCUGAAAAUUUUGAUUUUCAGCUCUUAAUUAAUGUGGUUGUCAUAUACACUCUGACUUAUCAAUCUGAGGCCCGCGACUUGGUCAACAAUGACAGUGCAUUUGGUACCGCUUUUUCAAGGGGUUUUUGGUCUCUAAAUACCCCUGGGGAAAUGACAGAUUUUUCCAAGAAGUUUUCAGCUAAAUAUUGAGCUUGGGAAAACUGAAAGCCCAACGCCGGUCCCUACUAGCAUUGGGCUUUCAACAUUUGACCAAAUGCUGAAAUUAAUUUUUUCUUUCAAAACUACCCUUAUCAAUUAUUAAAACUUCUAAUGAAAUUAAUUUUUUCUUUCAAAACUACCCUUAUCAAUUAUUAAAACUUCUAAUUAUCCCUCAUUAUCUAUAAGAGGAUCAAACCCUUUACUGAACUAAUGGAGGGAUACAGUCAUCGACAAGCUAGAUUUGGCAUCGCGGCCAUCGAUUGAGGUCGCUUGACCUUGGGUGACUCUUGAUAAGGGUUGCUCAACCCAAGUGCGCGCAAACCAGGUAGCCACCCUUGCCUAGGUCCCGCAAGGGUGACAUAAGGUCACGCAACCCUCAUCGGAGUUCUCCCAAGGCCAAGCGACCUCAACUAAUGGCUGCCAGCACUAAGUGUGGCUUGUCGAUGGCUAUAGCCCUUCAUUAGUUCCAACAAAGGGUUUGGGUCCUUCUUUAAUAAAAAAAAGAUAGAAAAAAAAUACUCAAAGCCCAUUGCAAAUGUCUUUUUGCCAAAUACAACAUGAACUCAAAGUUCAUUUGCAAAGAAUUUUAACCAAACAUAAUUUGCAUUUUACAAAUAUCUUUGGCUUUCAACAUUUGCAUUGCACUCAAAGUCUAUUUGCAAAACUGAACCAAAAACAUCCUAAGGCCUUUAAUGGAGGUAGACAAAAAGAGAAUGACAGAGAGAGAAGACAAGGGCAAUGGUGAUGGGGAUUGAAUAGGCAGGAAUGGUAGUUUUCUUUUCUUUUUCUUUUUUUAGGCAGGAAUGGUAGUUGAAGGAGGAUUUUUUUUUUUUUUUAAAUAUGCAAAUAGAGGAUUGUGUGACGUCGUCCACAUCAAUGAAUCUCAAUCAACCAUAAUAAUAUGAAAGAACGCAUCCUUUUAUAGUUGCUUGUUUGCAAGCUCAUCACAAGAAUGAGAAAGCAAGACAUGGACUUAUUGGCUCUAUGGGGUUAUCUUAUGGACGAAGCUGCUGCAAAGAAAUAGCAAAGCGUUUCUCUUCACAUUCUUACGCUCGAGGGAGACUCAAAGAUUAUUAGAUUGGUUCAAGGCAAGCAACAUUAGGUAAGCAGCUCACCUCUCUUUCUCUUUUGUGCUUGGUCGUUCAAGACGAGCAACAUUCGGUAAGCAGCACACUUCUCUGCCUCUUUUUUGCUUGAUUUUUUUUCUCCCUUUACAGAGUAGGGGACACCAUCACCCGUAACUAUUUCAACUGUACAAACAUGUUGCUGGGGGUCCGACACCACCGUUCUGCAAGUCAAGAGGACUGACAUCAAGAGAAUAAUUCUACGUGAAAUUUCAGCAGAAAGAAACAGAAAAAGAGAGCACCAACAAUUGGUGAAGAAGGAAAAAAUAGGCACUUGGCAUUUCAUCUCUUUUGAAAAAUACCAAAAAUAAUGUGGCCAUGAUGAGCUCUUACUAGCUUUAUCACUCAUGUAUCUUUUCGUAGAGCAUAUGCAAGACUACCUUGAAGCAAGUAAUAAUUUAGUUAAUAUCAAAGACGAUUGGCCAUAUCACUGAUUCUUGCAAUAAAAAUCCAAAAUAACAGGCAGAGAGGAAAGGAAACUGCCUGGAAGUGUUGACAUCAGCAAAGCGGGAAAAACAAUGGUGAAUAAAUCAAAUGAAGAAGGAAGUGUACUCGUAAUUAGGUUUGUGCCAUUUCUUUUGGACACAAAGCUUGUCUAGCUCCAGUUUGGCUUUCUCAAUUUCCAACGGGCCAUCAAACCCAUGGUUGACAGAUUCAGGGCCAACAAUAGGCCCCAGUAAACCUUUGAAGAUCUGAACAUGUGCCAAACAAAUCUGUUCUAAAAACGACAAUGAUAUUGAAAGGGAUAACUUGAAGAUUAAAAUAAAGGCAUCAUCUUAUUGAAGAAAGAAAUGCCCUGCCUUCCAAAAUCUCUUUAAAUUAGAGCCAACAUCGUAAUAGAUAGCAGCUGCCACAGAUUCUACAAUAUCUGCAAGAAAAUCUGGGGCUUUAACUGAUCCCCCAUCUUCCUCCUCAACUGCUCUAGCAAACUCGCUAACCUGCAAAAUAACUGGAAACAUCCCAUUGAAAAAGAGUGAUAGAGAUACUACCAAGUAACAGAUAAAAACUCAACCUACUUCUCAUUCCCAUAUUAUACAAUUUGUACAUUCACAAUUGCACAUAGAGUUAAAACAGAUAAAUAGAUUGUUGCAUUUCAUUGAGCCAUUAUACUUCCAACUUUCCAGAGAAACAAAGAAUUCGCAAGCAAUAUACCAACCACAGAAAUUUAGUACACAAGGUGGGACUGCUUUGGAUGGUAACGUUGCUUCUGAAAAGUUCCAUAAGGAGGCAGUUUGAAAAUCUCUCGAGAAUCGCACACCGUAGAUCGCGUAGAGAUAGAAUGGAGAUCUUUUCAGCUUAACAUUCUUAUCAUAAAAAUCAAGGUGCAAAGCUUUUUUCUUCUUCUUGUAAACAUUUAAGAAAAAAUGGAGAAUGCAGACUUCAGGUAUGUAAAUGACUAGCCACUAGAGAAGGAAAAACUAUAUUAGGUAUUGAUUACACAAUGUGAGGUGCUGACAUUAUAUCCACAAUUUAUGAAGUGCCAUUGUUCAUUACACAUUGAUCA
rnacentral:lncRNA from 1 species